rnacentral:rRNA from 1 species
UAGUACACUUAAAUUUAAUUAGUAAGUACUAGAAUAUUAUAAGUUAUAUUCUUUAAAUUUAAAAAAUUUGGCGGUAUUUUAGUCUAGUUAGAGGAACCUGUUUUAUAAACGAUACAACACGCAUUAUCUUACUUGUUUUAGUAACUCGGUUUGUAUACCGUCAUUAUAAGAUAAUUUGGGAGAAAGUAUUGUUGAAACCAUAUUAUUGAGUAUAUUAGAUCAAGGUGCAGCUUAUAGGUAAGGAAACAUGGGUUACAAUAAAAUUUAUUUAAUAUGAAUUAGGUAUUGAAAUAUAUUUAUGAAGGAGGAUUUAAUUGUAAGAAAAGAAAUAGUAAGAUUUUCUGAUAAAAGCUCUAAAUUGU